CAAACACACACACACACACACACACACACACACACACGCACACACACACACACACACACACACACACACACACACACACACACACACACACACACACACACACACACACACAGCUUACAAAGGACGGGUUGAAAUAACAGAGAUGGAGCGCAUGGGGACUAGCGGGGGCAUUGUGGGAGGCAUGCCUGAUUCUAUCAGCCCUGAGGUCAUCCAGUGUGUGUACGUGUGUGUUUUUUGUGUGUCUGUGUGUGUGCACAUGUGUGGGUGUGUUUGUGUAGACGUUUGUCAGAGUGCGAUGGAAUAUAAAUCGUGUUAAAGAACAGGCAGGCUGUGAAUGAGUGUUCCAUGAAGGAUCAAUGUUUAAAAUACACACAUUUGGAUUAGGAAGGAAUUUAACUUCAGGCAGUUUAUAUAUUCUCAAGCAAAACAUGUAAGGGAAAAGGACCUCAUGGUAGCAUCAAUAAAUCAAGUUAUCGACACAUAUAUUUCAUAGCAAGUGGUCGAGCCAACAGGAGGAGUAGCUCUGAAAGGCUGUGAUAACGGCACAGCAGCGCGUGUUUGUGGAUCAUCUGCAGCCAAUCACCUGCUCCCUGCGGGCAGCGAAGGCAUGCUAGGGAGACCAAGGCUUCUUCUGAGAGUGAUGAAGACGGAUGAGUGUGCCUGCGAGUUCACUCAAACGAAUCAAAGGCCAGAGGACUAAGAAGCAUCUGGACGGCACAACUGGAGAUGAAACAAGGAUUCCACAGAACUCAUCUUUCCUCCUCCUGUGUUCCUGGAGCGAUCGGCUAACCUUAUGUUAGCCUGUUUAGGAUUUGGGACAAAGAAAGAAAACAAGAAGGAAUGUGUACUGUAUUGACACAAGCUGAUUUGAAAUACCUUUAAUGUGUGUGUGUCACACAAGUGGUCGUUCAGUCUUUGUUUUUAAAGGAUAAAACCUUUUGCGUCACGUUUGUACAAGGUAACAUUACGACAUAAACUAAAAUAAAUGGUUGAAUCCAACAUAAAAUAAGCUGUGUGGCGGUAAGACUCAGAAGAUGUUUAGAAAGCUUUUAGGUAGAAGAGGACUUUAGCGAUAACCUUCCAAAGCUUGUCUAUAAAUACCAGAAAAUAAAAUCGAAAUAGGUUUAUCACCCUAAUUACAAAGUGUUUGUGGCCCAGAGUAAUUUAUAAGUAUAGAUUAUAUAUGAGUUCACAGUUUCUCAAGUGCACCACAACAGGUGAAUCUGAGAGAAGACAUCUCUGGUGACAGUAACAAGACAUGCUCUGUUGAAACAAGGGCAGCUUUGUUCAGUCAACACACACGCACAUGCGCACGCACAUGCGCACACGCACGCACAUGCAAACAAACAGCGCAAGGCUAGUAUACGCCAUCAACCCACCAAUAUGGCCUCAGCAUUGCAAUGGCAAAUGAUUCAAGCCAUGCUGGACAUGGUCCCGUCCCCAGGGAGUCUAACAUUUCAUUACUAUAGAAAAUACAAGACAGGCACAGACUCACGAAGCACCGCCACACACAACACAAAGUACUGGGAAAUGGUAAAUGGACUGCAUUUAUAUAGCGCUUUCACUGCAACCAGUGGCCACCCAAAGCGCUUUACAAUAUUGCCUCACAAUCACCCAUUCAUACACACAUUCACACACCGACGGCGGAGAAAGAUGAAGGACACAUCCCAUUGGUCAGCACCCUUCAACUAAUACAUCACAUGACACGGGCCUCUAAAUGUAAAACUAAUGCAAGAGAUAAACAUAAACAAUUAUUUGAGCUGAUCAGAUGCUGUUAUUUGACAAAACUACCAGUAAUUAGGAGACCGUAAACCGGCGAUGGUGAAUUUAAUAUUCUAUCCUGGGACCCGGUAGUCAGGAGGACGUCGCCCUGCUGAGAAGACAGAGAAGGUCCUCCAGCGACCCGGGACCAGACCCGCUCCCCUCGGCUCUGAACACACCCGGGCCGGGGUGGUGCUGAAUGUCAUGGGUCACGGUGGGAUUGUACCAGAGGCGGCUGUGAGGCAGUACUUGGGUGAUUCGGCGAAACCUUUGGAAUCGAUGUGAUUGGCUCAUGGGCAGGUCCUUCCCAUCAGGUGAUCCAAGAGAUUAUUCAGCUGGACACAGGAAAGAAAGAAAUACUGUUUCAGUCUUGUAGCCCUCUGAUGUUCUGUGUGACUACUGAGGGCAGGGAGAACCACAUGCUGUAGCUGGCAGAGAGAUGAUGGAAGAAGCUUUCGUUGUAUAAUCCCCCAAACCAAAACCAGCUCCAUUUUGAUGGGAUUCUUAUC
ensembl:lncRNA